GAUGAACGCUGACAGAAUGCUUAACACAUGCAAGUCAACUGUGGCGGACGGGUGAGUAACGCGUAAAGAACUUGCCUCACAGCUAGGGACAACAUUUGGAAACGAAUGCUAAUACCUGAUACUGUGAGAGAGCUUUGCGUCCCAUUAGCUAGUUGGAGAGGUAACGGCUCACCAAGGCGAUGAAGGGGGGCCGGCCUGGGAGGGUGAUCGGCCCCAAGGGGACUGAGACACGGCCCUUACUCCUACGGGAGGCAGCAGUGAGGAAUAUUGGACAAUGGACCAAAGGUUGAUCAAGCAUUUCUGUGUGCACGAUCAAGUUUUCGGAAUGUAAAGUGCUGUCAGUUGGGAUGCGGUACCAACAGAAGAAGGGACGGCUAACUACGUGCCAGCAGCCGCGGUAAUAC
rnacentral:rRNA from 1 species